UGGGGAAUAUUGGGCAAUGGGCGCAAGCCUGACCCAGCAACGCCGCGUGAAGGAUGAAGGUUUUCGGAUUGUAAACUUCUUUUGUCGGGGAAGAUAAUGACGGUACCUGACGAAUAAGCCACGGCUAACUACGUGCCAGCAGCCGCGGUAAUACGUAGGGGGCAAGCGUUAUCCGGAUUUACUGGGUGUAAAGGGAGCGCAGGCGGCGAAGCAAGCCAGAGGUGAAAACCCGGGGCUCAACCCCGAGGAUUGCCUUUGGAACUGUUUUGCUCGAGUGCUGGAGGGGCAGGCGGAAUUCCUGGUGUAGCGGUGAAAUGCAUAGAUAUCAGGAGGAACACCGGUGGCGAAGGCGGCCUGCUGGACAGUAACUGACGCUGAGGCUCGAAAGCGUGGGGAGCAAACAGGAUUAGAUACCCUGGUAGU
rnacentral:rRNA from 1 species